rnacentral:rRNA from 1 species
CCUAGGGGGGCUGCAGUGGGGAAUAUUGGACAAUGGGCGAAAGCCUGAUCCAGCCAUGCCGCGUGUGUGAAGAAGGCCUUCGGGUUGCAAAGCACUUUCAGUGGGGAAGAAAGCCUUGGGGCUAAUACCCUCGAGGAAGGACAUCACCCACAGAAGAAGCACCGGCUAACUCCGUGCCAGCAGCCGCGGUAAUACGGAGGGUGCGAGCGUUAAUCGGAAUUACUGGGCGUAAAGCGCGCGUAGGCGGUCUGAUAAGCCGGUUGUGAAAGCCCCGGGCUCAACCUGGGAACGGCAUCCGGAACUGUCAGGCUAGAGUGCAGGAGAGGAAGGUAGAAUUCCCGGUGUAGCGGUGAAAUGCGUAGAGAUCGGGAGGAAUACCAGUGGCGAAGGCGGCCUUCUGGACUGACACUGACGCUGAGGUGCGAAAGCGUGGGUAGCAAACAGGAUUAGAUACCCCUGUAGUC